GCUCUAUGAUGAACCCCAUGCGUGUCAUCUGAGCCUGGCUUCCCUUUCUCAGCCCAGGUAGUGUUCUACUUCCCAGGGCUGUUGUCUGGCCUGGCGAGGGGGAACCCUGGCAAGGAUCAAAACUAGAAUUCUGAGAGC